UUUCUGAUUUAAACGUUGUUCAGUGUUGGGAGUUGUACAUCAGUCAUAGCCAAACCAACUCCGUGUAGGUGUAGUUAAACUCCGCCCACAGAAGAAACGCAUUUAACUUUUUCGGUGAAGGACGAGCUAUCACCGUUUCCCUCCACUCGUGCAGCUCUACACGUUUAACAUACAGAGGCCACAGGGGUCCAAAAAGGUGUCGCAGCGUGCUGUAUCUGAUGUCUGUGUUAAUGAACCAGGUAGAAAUGUUGAUGUCCUCUCCACCUUCCCAAGGUUCCUGGAUACAAAAGGAUUGACUAUAUUUGUUCCCGAAGCCAAGGCUCUCUGAUGGGGAAACAACCUACAAGAAACUGCCUCCCUGUUGUUGCUGAUACAUCUUCUUUCACCACCACCACCUGGGGGACCGAAGUCUCCAAAAACUAUUAAGCCAUGCUACAGUUUGGAGGAUCAUCUCGGCGACCGUACCUCCUCGCCGUUUGGGGGCGUCAGAAGAACUGGAUCGACAGCUUCUACAUCACCAUGGAUAAGCAUCUCUUUUGAUGCCAGGCAAACCGCUCCCUGAAGCCACUUGAUGAACAUUUCAAAGCACAUUUUGCCUUUAAUUUGUGUGAUUUAUAUGACGAUAGGAUUGUGCAUUGUUUCACACAUGAAAAUGCAAAAAUAAAUGUUAUUUUUGAAAAUGA